rnacentral:rRNA from 1 species
UACAGAGGUCUCAAGCGUUGUUCGGAUUCAUUGGGCGUAAAGCGCGCGUAGGCGGCCCGGUAAGUCCGUUGUGAAAGCCCCGGGCUCAACCUGGGAAUGGCGGUGGAAACUAGGGGACUUGAAUCUGGCAGAGGGGGGGUGGAAUUCCACGUGUAGCAGUGAAAUGCGUAGAGAUGUGGAGGAACACCGAUGGCGAAGGCAGCCCCCUGGGCUGAGAUUGACGCUCAGGCACGAAAGCGUGGGGAGCAAACAGG